rnacentral:rRNA from 1 species
UUGGAGGGCAAGUCUGGUGCCAGCAGCCGCGGUAAUUCCAGCUCCAAUAGCGUAUAUUAAAGUUGUUGCAGUUAAAAAGCUCGUAGUUGAAUUUCGGGGUCAAUAAGUUGGGCGUGCCAAUGGUAUGCACUGGCUUUAUUGAUUCCUACCUCUUGACGAACUGUGAUGCCAUUAAUUUGGUGUCGCAAGGAAUCAGGACUGUUACCUUGAAAAAGUUAGAGUGUUUAAAGCAGGCUUACGCUUGAAUACAUUAGCAUGGAAUAAUGAAAUAGGACGUUUGAACCUAUUUUGUUGGUUUCUAGGAUCGACGUAAUGAUUAAUAGGGAUAGUUGGGGGCAUUAGUAUUCAAUUGUCAGAGGUGAAAUUCUUGGAUUUAUUGAAGACUAACUACUGCGAAAGCAUUUGCCAAGGAUGUUUUCAUUAAUCAAGAACGAAAGUUAGGGGAUCGAAGACGAUCAGAUACCGUCGUAGUCUUAACCAUAAACUAUGCCGACUAGGGAUCGGAUGAUGUUAAUUUUUUAAUGACUCAUUCGGCGCCUUACGGGAAACCAAAGUGUUUGGGUUC